AAUUCUCAACCAUGUCUUGAUCGAUUUCGAGCAACAUGGCUUGGAUUUGGGAGUUGCUGGCGACGAAAGUCGUCGGCUCUCCUUAAAUGCAUUAGCAAAGGGUUCUGCAAAGCAAUUCAAUUCAGACGUGCACGGCCUUUUGACGUGAUAAUGAUCGUCAUCGCUGGAGCGUCGAGGGUUUAAACUGUUGCUUUUGUAGAAAACAAAGCUCUUUGCU
rnacentral:misc_RNA from 1 species